rnacentral:rRNA from 1 species
UACGUAGGGAGCAAACGUUGCUCGGAAUCAUUGGGCGUAAAGCGCACGUAGGCGGUUCGUUAUGUCGGAUGUGAAAGCCCUUGGCUUAACCGAGGAAGUGCAUCCGAAACUGGCGAGCUAGAGUACUAAAGAGGAUCGCGGAAUUCCCGAUGUGAGAGGUGAAAUUCGUAGAUAUCGGGAGGAACACCGGUGGCGAAGGCGACACCCUGGACUCAUACUGACACUGAGGUGCGAAAGCGUGGGGAGCAAACAGG